GCCCGGGUGGUGAAAUAGGUAGACGCAGGAGACUCAAAAUCUCCCGCCGAGAGGCGUGCCGGUUCGAUUCCGGCCCCGGGCACCA
rnacentral:tRNA from 1 species